AUGUUUCAUCUGGUGAAGCAGAAAAAUUUCCCUGCAGCUUUCAGAUGUUACUGGAAUAAUCAAAAAUUUGAUUCUCUUUCAAAUGAUUACUUGUAUUACAAGAUGCUUAUCCAUGGGCAUAGUGAUUCUGCUUUUGGACAUUAUCAGCAAGAGAUGAGGUAAAUUUGCGAAAUCAUCCUUGUAUUACAAGAUGCUUAUCCAUGGACGUUUAAAUUUUCACCCCUCUUUAAAAAUAUAAUGCCUUCAUUCAGACGUUAUGAUUUUUCUCUCUCGCUUUUGCCAUUGUUUAUUUCUCACCUACCUUCAUCACUUAUGAUUAAAUCCGCAUACUAAAUCUUCUCUCCUUCCCUAGACAAUGACUUCAUGGCUACCAUGACCAUUUUCCUAUACUAUUAAUGGCUUAUUUAUUUCCCAUGUCUGAAUAAGUUACGCUUUAUAAUAUGAAAUGGAUAGAGUAUCUCAUUAGUAUAUGGAAAUAUCUCUUCUUUCUUCUUCUUUUUUUAGAUUUAUUAACUCUAAUGGAUCCCCCAUUUUCCUUUCUAGGAAAAAUCAAGAGUUAUGGCUACUAUACAGAGGUUUCUUCGUUGAAGUAAACAUGUUCAAGGGGAAUAAUAAGAUGCCUACUGAACUUUCUGAAGAUGUCCACACUUCACUGAAAAAUAUCGGUGGUGCUUUGGAUUCAAUUCGUCAGCUAAGGACGGUCUGGCUGAUGAGGAUUCAAAUCUGAUGGUUAAACUAAAAUUCCUGACCUAUAAGUUAUGUCCAUCUGAUCUCCCUCUGAUGUUUCUCUGUGGACUUCCUUUCCUUAAGUACAUAUUUUAUUUCUUGUGCUUGGGAGAGGCCUACAACUGUAUACGUUUAACUUUGCUGAAUAUGUAUACUCUAAAAAAAUUCAUACGCUUGUCUCGGUAACUAAGAAUUCAGCUCAUUGGCGUUGUAGCGUGGAGUGGUUUCCUUCGCAGUUUAGGUUUGAUCAGUUGCUGCACUGCAGUCAUAUGCAUCUCUUCUGUAUUUUUAGAUACAUCAUUCAUAUAGGAGCAAGCUGGAAUUGUUACAUUGAAUAGUAGCAUGCAGAUUUAAUAGGCCAUGAGGAUUAGAACUAAUAGUGAGCCUUCAAGUUUUAAAAGGUAAAUAAAAGUAAUAUGUUGACAAAGCGCCACCAUGCUAUGAUAUUUAACAAUAAUCUGUUGAUUAAAUAUGCCAUGCUCAUUAGUAAAAACAUUGAGCAAAGCAGUCCUAUUAUAAACUAUUUGUAAUUACAAUUCAUAUGUUGCCCUUUUUAUAUGGUUUCCUGGUCCAUAUUACAUGUGUAGGUGCAGUUGAGUAAUUUUGAGUCUAACAAACCUGGUCCAGCAACUGAAAUUUCUGCAAAUCAAAAGGAAGAACUAGAGAAAACACAACCAAAAAUCCAGUUUUUGUACCAGUUUAUUUAGCUCCUCCCAUGAUGAAGACGAGUCCCCGUGUGAUCGUGGUGUCAUUCAAACAUUCCCAAAGAGUGCCAGAUAUCCAUGUAUAGAGUAGAUGGACAUCUACUUUCGCUUGUUCGUUGAUUCCUUGAUUCUUCUAGAUAUGAUUCCUGAUGCUCUGCUGCUGGUGGAUUUUGAAUAGUAAGAUCUCCAGUUUAUGUCUAAUAUUUUUUUUUAUAACUGAAUUAUGUUGAUUGUUUCUUGUACACAACAAUUGUUAGUACUACUUGUUAUAUACAUACAAAUAGAUGAAGCCGAAGGUUCUUUUUCUGAAUGAUUAUAAAUCUGAGAGAAUGAUGUAUUAGGUUGUGCAGGUUUCUCACAGAUUUGUGUCCUUGAGGGAGUCAUUUUUUGCUUGUUUUUUACAAUAACGAAUUACACAUUUCUUGCUUAUGAACAGCUGAUUUCAUCUCUCCUUAUUGCAUGAACAAUAUAUGUACUGGUAAAGCGGCGUCUCAACCACGAAUGCUGACACCGACGUCCGCACACCCAUGAGCCUCUUACCGUCGUGCCGCUUGGAUCGGGGAGCAUAUGGGGCGGCACAUGCAGGUGAUGACAACGGAUGUUUCCUCUCCCGCCGGCUGCCUCUGAUUGUGGCACAUGGUACUGAAAUCAACACCAAUCACCUCAGCAUGCCCCUUCCCCGGGCUGCACUUUUUCCAUGGUGUAGCAAGCACGCAUGAUCGAAGAUGAGGAAUACGAGUUUUUGCACGUGACAUAUUUGAUGAAAUGCAGUGUAGGUAUGAUAACCCACAAGUAUAGGGGAUCGCAACAGUUUUUGAGGGUAGAGUAUUCAACCCAAAUUUAUUGAUUCGACACAAGGGGAGCCAAAGAAUAUUCUCAAGUAUU